UACAGAGGGUGCGAGCGUUGUUCGGAAUUAUUGGGCGUAAAGGGCUCGUAGGCGGCCAACUAAGUCAGACGUGAAAUCCCUCAGCUUAACUGGGGAACUGCGUCUGAUACUGGAUGGCUUGGAUUCGGGAGAGGAAUGCGGAAUUCCAGGUGUAGCGGUGAAAUGCGCAGAUAUCAGGAGGAACACCGGUGGCGAAGGCGGGUCUCUGGGCCGUAACUGACGCUGAGACGCGAAAGCGUGGGGAGCAAACAGG
rnacentral:rRNA from 1 species